AUUGAACGCUGGCGGCAGGCUUAACACAUGCAAGUCGAGCGGAGCGAGGGUGCUUGCACCUUAGCUUAGCGGCGGACGGGUGAGUAAUGCUUAGGAAUCUGCCUAUUAGUGGGGGACAACAUUCCGAAAGGAAUGCUAAUACCGCAUACGCCCUACGGGGGAAAGCAGGGGAUCUUCGGACCUUGCGCUAAUAGAUGAGCCUAAGUCGGAUUAGCUAGUUGGUGGGGUAAAGGCCUACCAAGGCGACGAUCUGUAGCGGGUCUGAGAGGAUGAUACGCCACACUGGUACUGAGACACGGCCCAGACUCCUACGGGAGGCAGCAGUGGGGAAUAUUGGACAAUGGGCGGAAGCCUGAUCCAGCCAUGCCGCGUGUGUGAAGAAGGCCUUAUGGUUGUAAAGCACUUUAAGCGAGGAGGAGGCUACUAGUAUUAAUACUACUGGAUAGUGGACGUUACUCGCAGAAUAAGCACCGGCUAACUCUGUGCCAGCAGCCGCGGUAACAC
rnacentral:rRNA from 1 species